AUCACUUUAAUUCGAUGAAUAUUAUAAGCGAUAAAUAUAUUUAAAUAUGGAUGCUAUUGUAUAAAUCCAGUUUAAGAAUUUAAACAAAUAUAAGAAAUUAUAAUUUAGAUAGUUUAUUAGUUUAGGUUUAUUAGGUGCCAGCAACCGCGGUCAAACCUAAUAAGCUUGCUUAUAAGUCUCAUUAAAUAUUUUAGUAUAUUUUUAAAUAGUAUAAUAUAUAGUGAAAUGUUAUUAUUUAUUUUAAUUCUCAAAAAUAUAUAUAAUAUGAAACUCAUAUUUAAAACUAGGAUUAGAGACCCUAUUAUUAUGAAUGUUAAUUAAAUAUUUAUUAAGGAGUAUAAUUAUACAAUUUAAACUUAAAAAUUAUGGCGGCUUAAUAAAACACUUAGGGGAACUUACCAUAUAAUUGAUAACCACCAAGCAUAAUCACACUUACUUUCAAAAAUUUGUAUACCGUUGUCUUCAUUGACCCUUUGAUAGGGUUAACUAACAUAAAUUAAAUAAGAAGACAAAUCAAGGUGCAGUCAAUUAGUAAGAAAUAAGGUGAGUUACAAUAAUAAAUUGUUUCGGAUUAUUAUAUGAAAAAUAAUAUGAAGAUGGACUUGAAAGUAAUAUAUAAGGAUAAAUAAAAUAUG
rnacentral:rRNA from 1 species